rnacentral:lncRNA from 1 species
UGAAUUGGGACUAGACCUACUUAUCGGGUGGGCCAAGCUAAGCCAAGGGAUUGGAACCAUUUUUCAGGCCCAAGUCGGGCCCAGCCUGGUCUUUAGGCCUCCUUUCCAAACCCGAGCCUGCUCCAUGAUGGGCUUUGGGCUUUUGGGCCAAGCCUUGGGCUUACUUGGAUGAGAAAAAAAUGGGGAGGUGACGAGCCAGCGACACUAGCGAGGAGGUAGUUGGGGCUUGGGAGGUGAAGAUGAUGUGAAGAAGCGAGAAGAUGGAAUGAGGAGGAGGCAGAGAGGCAGUGAGCUUGUUAAGAGGAAGAUAAGGUGGGGAGGC